AUUGAACGCUGGCGGCAGGCCUAACACAUGCAAGUCGAACGGAUGCAGAGAAAUUGCUCCUUCAUUCAGCUGCCGACUGGCGAGUGAGUCCUAGGAAUCUGCCUGGUUGUGGUUGCUUACGUCCGAACGCAGGCGCUCAUACCCCAUAAGCCCUUAUGACGCACGGGUGAAAUCUUCGGACCUUCCGAUCUCACCCGAUCCUAUGACCCGAUAUCGGGUUAGUUAGUUGACGGGGUAAAGGCGCACCAAGGCGACGAUGCGUAGCUGGUCUGAGAGGAUGAUCAGCCACACUGGAACUGAGACACGGUCCAGACUCCUACGGGAGGCAGCAGUGGGGAAUAUUGGACAAUGGGCGCAAGCCUGAUCCAGCCAUACCGCGUGGGUGAAGAAGGCCUUCGGGUUGUAAAGCCCUUUUAGUUGGAAAGAAAAGCAGCAAGUUAAUACCUCGCUGUUUUGACGGUACCAAAAGAAUAAGCACCGGCUAACUUCGUG
rnacentral:rRNA from 1 species